AUUGAACGCUGGCGGCAGGCCUAACACAUGCAAGUCGAGCGGUAGCACAGAGAGCUUGCUCUCGGGUGACGAGCGGCGGACGGGUGAGUAAUGUCUGGGAAACUGCCUGAUGGAGGGGGAUAACUACUGGAAACGGUAGCUAAUACCGCAUAACGUCGCAAGACCAAAGUGGGGGACCUUCGGGCCUCAUGCCAUCAGAUGUGCCCAGAUGGGAUUAGCUAGUAGGUGGGGUAAUGGCUCACCUAGGCGACGAUCCCUAGCUGGUCUGAGAGGAUGACCAGCCACACUGGAACUGAGACACGGUCCAGACUCCUACGGGAGGCAGCAGUGGGGAAUAUUGCACAAUGGGCGCAAGCCUGAUGCAGCCAUGCCGCGUGUAUGAAGAAGGCCUUCGGGUUGUAAAGUACUUUCAGCGAGGAGGAAGGCGUUAAGGUUAAUAACCUUGGCGAUUGACGUUACUCGCAGAGGAAGCACCGGCUAACUCCGUGCCAGCAGCCGCGGUAAUACGGAGGGUGCAAGCGUUAAUCGGAAUUACUGGGCGUAAAGCGCACGCAGGCGGUCUGUCAAGUCGGAUGUGAAAUCCCCGGGCUCAACCUGGGAACUGCAUUCGAAACUGGCAGGCUAGAGUCUUGUAGAGGGGGGUAGAAUUCCAGGUGUAGCGGUGAAAUGCGUAGAGAUCUGGAGGAAUACCGGUGGCGAAGGCGGCCCCCUGGACAAAGACUGACGCUCAGGUGCGAAAGCGUGGGGAGCAAACAGGAUUAGAUACCCUGGUAGUCCACGCCGUAAACGAUGUCGACUUGGAGGUUGUGCCCUUGAGGCGUGGCUUCCGGAGCUAACGCGUUAAGUCGACCGCCUGGGGAGUACGGCCGCAAGGUUAAAACUCAAAUGAAUUGACGGGGGCCCGCACAAGCGGUGGAGCAUGUGGUUUAAUUCGAUGCAACGCGAAGAACCUUACCUACUCUUGACAUCCAGAGAACUUAGCAGAGAUGCUUUGGUGCCUUCGGGAACUCUGAGACAGGUGCUGCAUGGCUGUCGUCAGCUCGUGUCGUGAAAUGUUGGGUUAAGUCCCGCAACGAGCGCAACCCUUAUCCUUUGUUGCCAGCGGUUAGGCCGGGAACUCAAAGGAGACUGCCAGUGAUAAACUGGAGGAAGGUGGGGAUGACGUCAAGUCAUCAUGGCCCUUACGAGUAGGGCUACACACGUGCUACAAUGGCAUAUACAAAGAGAAGCGACCUCGCGAGAGCAAGCGGACCUCAUAAAGUAUGUCGUAGUCCGGAUUGGAGUCUGCAACUCGACUCCAUGAAGUCGGAAUCGCUAGUAAUCGUAGAUCAGAAUGCUACGGUGAAUACGUUCCCGGGCCU
rnacentral:rRNA from 1 species